rnacentral:rRNA from 1 species
CCUACGGGGGGCAGCAGUGAGGAAUAUUGGUCAAUGGGCGCGAGCCUGAACCAGCCAAGUAGCGUGAAGGAUGACUGCCCUACGGGUUGUAAACUUCUUUUAUAUAGGAAUAAAGUGAGGCACGUGUGCCAUUUUGUAUGUACUUUAUGACUAAGGAUCGGCUAACUCCGUGCCAGCAGCCGCGGUAAUACGGAGGAUCCGAGCGUUAUCCGGAUUUAUUGGGUUUAAAGGGAGCGUAGAUGGGUUGUUAAGUCAGUUGUGAAAGUUUGCGGCUCAACCGUAAAAUUGCAGUUGAUACUGGCAGCCUUGAGUACAGUAGAGGUAGGCGGAAUGCGUGGGGUAGCGGUGAAAUGCUUAGAUAUCACGAAGAACUCCGAUUGCGAAGGCAGCCUACUAAACUGCAACUGACGUUGAUGCUCGAAAGUGUGGGUAUCAAACAGGAUUAGAUACCCGGGUAGUC